GGGGGAGUAGUAUAGCCUGGUAGUAUACCACCUUGGGGUGGUGGCGACCCCAGUUCAAAUCUGGGCUCUCCCG
rnacentral:tRNA from 1 species